rnacentral:rRNA from 1 species
AACGAACGCUGGCGGCGUGCCUAACACAUGCAAGUCGUGCGAGAAAGUUUCCUUCGGGGAGCGAGUAAAGCGGCGCACGGGUGAGUAACACGUAGGUAACCUACCUUUCAGUCCGGAAUAACCAGCUGAAAAGCUGGCUAAUGCCGGGUAAGACCACGAUCUCUGCGGGGAUCGCGGCCAAAGGCGGCCUCCUCAUGAAAGCUGAUGCUGAGAGAUGGGCCUGCGUACCAUUAGCUAGUUGGUGAGGUAACGGCUCACCAAGGCUUUGAUGGUUAGCUGGUCUGAGAGGAUGACCAGCC